ACGCUCGACACCUACGGGAGUCAGCAGUGGGGAAUAUUGCACAAUGGGGGAAACCCUGAUGCAGCGACGCCGCGUGGAGGAAGAAGGUCUUCGGAUUGUAAACUCCUGUUGUUGGGGAAAAAGAGGAUGGUACCCAACAAGGAAGUGACGGCUAACUACGUGCCAGCAGCCGCGGUAAUCUGAGGCGGGCUGGCAAGGC
rnacentral:rRNA from 1 species